rnacentral:rRNA from 1 species
AACGAACGCUGGCGGCAUGCCUAACACAUGCAAGUCGAACGAGACCUUCGGGUCUAGUGGCGCACGGGUGCGUAACACGUGGGAAUUUGCCUCGGGGUAUGGAAUAACUCAGGGAAACUUGAGCUAAUACCAUAUAAUGUCUUCGGACCAAAGAUUUAUCGCCCUGAGAUAAGCCCGCGUAGGAUUAGCUAGUUGGUGGGGUAAAGGCUCACCAAGGCGACGAUCCUUAGCUGGUCUGAGAGGAUGAUCAGCCACACUGGGACUGAGACACGGCCCAGACUCCUACGGGAGGCAGCAGUGGGGAAUAUUGGACAAAUGGGC